rnacentral:rRNA from 1 species
GUGCAGCAGGCGAGAAUAGUCUACAAUGGACGAAAGUCUGAUAGUGCGACGCCGUGUGUGCGAUUAAUUCCUUCGGGAUGUAAAGCACUUUUCUAUGGGAUAAAAGCUCUUUAGGUUAAUAGCUUAUUGAGACGGAUAUUAUUAUAGGAAUAAGCUCCGGCUAACUCCGUGCCAGCAGCCGCGGUAAUACGGAAGGAGCGAGCGUUGUCCGGAUUUACUAGGCGUAAAGGGCUAGUAGGCGACUAAUUAAGUUAUAUGUUAAAUCCCACGGCUCAACUGUGGUCCUGCAUGUAAUACUGGUUAGAUAGAGUACUGUAGAGGAAGGCAGAAUUCCUGGAGUAGCGGUGGAAUGCGCAGAUAUCAGGAAGAAUACCAAAAGCGAAGGCAGCCUUCUGGGCAGUUACUGACGCUGAAUAGCGAAGGUGUGGGUAGCGAACAGGAUUAGAUACCCGUGUAGU